rnacentral:snRNA from 1 species
AUACUCUGGUUUCUUUUCAGCUCGUAUAAAUCUUUCGCCUUUUACUAAAGAUUUCUGUUGGGGGGGUGGUGGUGGUGGAAAUGCAAAUAUAUCCUGUGACUACAUCCCAACAAAUGUGC